UGCGUAGGCGGUGUUAUUAGUCGGGUGUUAAAUCCUGGGGCUCAACCCCAGACUCGCAUUCGAAACGGUAACACUAGAAGAAGUAAGAGGUGAGCAGAACUCUCGGUGUAGGGGUGAAAUCCGUUGAUAUCGAGGGGAAUACCAAAUGCGAAGGCAGCUCACUGGUACUCUCUUGACGCUGAGGCACGAAAGCAUGGGUAGCGAACAGGAUUAGAUACCCUGGUAGUCC
rnacentral:rRNA from 1 species